rnacentral:lncRNA from 1 species
AGUCAACGACUAGUCCACCUUGACUCAGCGGCCACGCACCUCGCCUUUCAACUGCCCCACCAGCUUCGCCAGCGCCGAAUGCGACGAGCCCCCUUCUCUGAGCGCCUCCACCGCUCUCUCCUUCAUCGUCGCCAUCCUUUCCCUCAGGUUCCGGCAAGCCACCGACUCCAUCAGCCAGCGAACCUUGGCCUCCACCUCCUCUGCUGACACCAGUUCCCCCUCAUAUCCGUCCAUCGCCACCGCCAGUCGCAUCUCCUCCGUCAGGAACACCUUGUUCAUCUUCUGCUCUGCGUACAGUGGCCACCCCACCAUCGGCACCUCGGCGACGAUCGCCUCCAGCACCGAGUUCCACCCGCAGUGGGUCACGAACCCCCCCACCGAAUCGUGGCUCAGCACCUCAACCUGCGGAGCCCAUGACUUCACCACCAGACCCCUCUCCCUUGUCCGCUCCAGGAAACCUUCCGGCAGUAGCGCGUCCAGGUCCGGCUCCGGCGGCCGCUCGUAACGCUUCGCCGGGUCGUUACUCGGCGGGCUCCGCACCACCCACAGGAACCUCUGCCUGCUUCGCUCGAGCCCCGCGGCGAUCUCCUUCAGCUGCGCGGCUGUGAACAAGCCCAGGCUACCGAAGCAAAGGAAGACCACGCUGUCUCGGGGCUGAGCGUCGAGCCACUCGAAGCACUCCGCCCUGUUGGCCUUCUCCCUCCCGUCCGACGUGAUCAGAGGUCCGAUGGAGUAGAUGGGAGGAGUCGCCCGUCCGUCCGUGACGCAGCGGCCAGCGGCGAUGGCUUCGAGCGCCCGCGGCUCGAGCGCGUCGAACGUGUUGACGAUGAUGCCGUGGGCGUCCGGAAAGCGGGAGCAGACGUCGAGUGACCCCUUGUAGGCCUCGUCCUCGCGGUCCAGCAUUGGGAGCGGCAUGUGGUCAGCGGGCAAUGGCGGGAUCCCGGGGACCAGCAGCGGGGCGCUGCCGAGCUCCCUGAAGCUCUUGACUGUGGUGGAGUGCAACGUCUGGAUGUAGAAGAAAGUGGCGAGGACGCUAGCGCCGGAGGUAAAGAAGGUGUAGCAGGGGAUGCAGAGCUCAGCUGCGACGUCGAGGGCCAAGCUGCAGAACAUGUCGACGACGAUGGCUCUGGGGGCGGCGUCGCGGAGGAGGUUGAGGAGAUUUGCGUUGGAGAGGCGGAGGAGGUCGAAGGCGAGGGCCUCUUGGUGGGGGGAGGGGUUGGGGGGGAGGGCGACGGGGGGGAGGCGGUGGAAGGUGAUGGAGGGAUUGGCGGCGGAGGCGCGGGCAACGAAGGCCGCGGUGGAGCCGGUGUUGUAAGGUGGGUCGACGGUGACGACGGCGACGGCCAUUCCGUGGAGGACGAAGAGCUUUCCGAGCUCCAUCAUGGACACCAGGUGGCCCAUCCCCGGCGACGGGUACAGCACCACUCCUCCCCGCUUCCUCUCUUCCGCAGGAAACAUGUCCUCUCUCUCUCUCUCUCUCUCUCUCUGGUCCGAAGCGACAUCUUCGAAUUAUAUAAGGCCACUUUUAUAGCACAGGGUGGCGACACCGACCGCAGUGGUAAAUACUGCGUUGGAGUGCAGAGGUAAAUACUGCUACUUGAUUUGAAGUCGAUCACACCCACAUCAUUCAAUCACCUAUCAGUCAACACGUGGCCACGUCAGCGAAGAUGUCAUCGAGUUCGUCUGAUGACAACGAAAAUUGGAAGAAACAUUGACCGAAGAUAUAUAUUAAUUGGUUGAUCGAAGAAUGAUUUGGAUCUCGAAGUUUCUAGAUGUUGGGUGGAUAUAUAUUGUGGUGGGGGCGAAGAUAAAUAUUACUUGGUUGAUGGAAGAAUGAUUUAGAUCUCAAAGUUUCUAGAUGUUGCGUAGGUAGAUUUGUCUCUUUAACUUGGAAGCGAGAUACAAGGUUAGUCAACACGUGAUUGCCAUAUAAGAUCUAAAUCAUCCUUGAUAAAAAUCUAAGGAAACAUAAAAAAUAUAAUCAUAAAUUUUGUUAUUAUUUUUAACGAUAAAGACAAUCUAAAACUUAUUUUUUUUAUGACAAGGAAGAUAAUUAUAAACUUUAUUCUUAUCUUUAAGGUAUAAAAUAUAUUUUUUAAAUAAUAAAAAAAAGGCUCUCGCUCUUUCCUUUUUGAAACUAUUCUAACCCAUAUCUAGGAAUCUCGAAUUACUAACUUAUACAUUGGAGAGAUCAAGUUGAAAAAUAUCUUUCGAUCUAGUCUUCGUGUAUGUGAUAUCUCGAAAAUAUAAUAUUUUUUUAUCUCGAGAGCAUAUAAUUUCCACAUUGGAGGGAGCACAAUAUUUUUACCUCAGAAAUAUCUCGAACAUUCCGGUAUAUAUGAGUCUGAACCACAUCGGGUUCAUAAAGAUAUUAACAAUAUUUUCUACUAACACUCGUUAAAGUCUUUUAAGAUUAUGCCCUAUCCCUUUUUAAUAUAAGAUAUAUGGAUUGAUCAAUCAAAUUAUAAAAACUCAACUAUAUCAAUCAAACUAUUUAAAAUUAACAUAAUGAUGUGGACCAAUUCAAUAAUUUAAAUAUAAAAAAUAAGUUUAUUAAAAUUAUAUAUUAAACUCAAUAUAUGCCAUUUGAUUCUUUCGAUCAUUAACAAUAUGAAACUAUUCUUUUGAUCCUCCUUCCACUUUCAUAUCUUACAUAAAAAUUCUCCUAACAAUGAUGAAGAUAAAACCAGUCACUAAACGGAAAUCCCUAAAUUGACAGCAACACGAUAGCUAAACAUAGCUAAGUCGAAUCAUAUACAAAUGCGAGAUGAUGAUGACGAGCCCUUUUACCUUCCAACAAAUAUUACUUUCAAUCUUAUGACACAUGAUAUCAUGUGCUUUAGAUCAAUUCUUUGCACCUUAGAUCUUUAUUAACAAAACAAUUUUUUUAUACUUUAGAUUGUUUGUUGUCUCCCACUCCAUAUAAAAAGACAUAUUGCAAAACGCAAGUUAGUAUAGAUUAAGGGAAUCCAUUUGCAUGUUCCUCUGAUUCAUUUGGAAGCUAAAGCAUAUGCGCGAUUGGUUUGUGUAUAUCCUAUUUGUUUUCAAUCGCAUAAUCAUCUUAUUUUCCAACAUUCUUCCCAUAAACUCUCAUUUUUCCUUCAAAACCUUGUGCAUCUUAACGAAAUGACAAUUGACUUCACCUAAUCAUGAAUCGGCCAUCCAACUCCGUUCACUUUAUCCUUUGUUUUCGUCUAAUUUGAAAAAUAAUAUUAAUUUUUUUCUUUGUAAAAAUAAAUCUAUUCGUCUGAUUUAUUUCUUUCUAAAAAAUAAAUAUUAAUUAUUUCCUAAAAAUAUUAAUUAUCCAUCAUCCUUCCAAAUUUAUUUUGCUUUCUAAAAAUAAAUAUUAUAUUAAGUUCAUUCUACUCCGUUCAUAAACAUUAGAUAUUUUAUUUCGAAAUUCUAUUUAUUUAUCGAGAAAUACAUAUAAAUUAUAUUUUUCUUAAUAAUUAAUAAUAAAUAUUAAGUAUUUGAAAAUUGUUUUCUAAAUCCAUGACACUAAUAACAUUAUUAAUCAUUCGAUUUUACAACGGCAAUAAAACGUUGUUCAAGAGAUUAUCAUUGUGUUCGUUCAUUCAUCAUUAAUUAUAUUUGUAAUAUAAAUUUUAUCAAAAUUAUGAAUAUAUUUAAUUAAUAGAUAUAUUGUAAGGAUACCAUACGAUUUAGAUAAAAGAAUAUAUUUAUUGACAAUAUUCGAAUGAGUUAAUAUGAAGCUUCCACCCCGUCGCGUCCGGCACCGACCCCUUUUGCAUGGGAUCUCUCGACGUGCCCAUCGUGGUUGGUGUCCUCCUCAGGCGGCGCACCCCGCGAUCCGGAUUUGCCCGCACGCAAACUCUCUCUCUCUCUCUCCUUCCUUCUAUAUAUAUGUAGACGAGCCAAAGAAGGCUCACCUCGCCUCGUCGUCAUAGGCUUCUCCUUCGGUGUGUGUCGAAAUCCUUGCGAGGAGCGAUGUCGAAUUUGAUAGACAAGGCGAAGGAGUUCGUGGCCGAGAAGAUAGCGAAGAUGCCGAAGCCGGAGGCCUCCCUCGAGAGCGUGUCCAUAAAGAGCUUCACCCGCGACUCCAUCCUGUUCCACAGCGAAGUCGCCGUCCUCAACCCGUACUCCCACUCCAUCCCCAUCUGCCAGCUCUCCUACGCCCUCAAGAGCGCCGGCAGGUUGCCGUCUCUUCCUUCCUUUCUUAAUCUAUCUUCCGCCAACCUUUGGCUUUUCUUCUUCACGAUGAUGGUGGAUCUUUGUAGGGAGGUGGCGUCGGGGACGAUGCCGGACCCGGGGUCGCUGACGGCGAGCGCGGAGACGAAGCUGGAGGUCUCGCUGAAGGUCCCCUACGACUUCUUGAUAAGCUUGAUGAGAGACAUCGGCCGCGACUGGGACAUCGACUAUGAGAUGCAGGUGGGGUUGACCAUCGACCUCCCUAUCAUCGGCGACUUCACCAUCCCGCUCUCCACCAAGGGCGAGAUCAAGCUGCCCACCCUCUCUGAUCUCUUCUGCGGCGGCGGCGGCGGAGAUGAUUAAGCAAGCUUCCAUCUUUUGUGUGUUCCAUUUGGUCAAUGAGAUUAAGAAAAUGGAAGUCAACGCUAAAAAUGUGUUGUUUUUAGGUCACUUGUAUCCGAUAUGAAUCGGAUGGUGAAAGACUAUAUUUAUAAUUCAUGUUAUUUCAGCGUAUUUUGAAUGAAUAUUAAAUUCGAAUCUGAUUUGGAUGAAAUAUUUUGAUAUUUUAUCAAUCAAUUAACUUGAUUUCAUCAAUCAACCGAUUUGUGCUCUGCGUGACUUGAAAAAAAUCGAAUUUUUCAUUAUAUAAGAAAAAUAAAAUAUAAAUAAUCAUUCUCUUUUGAACUAAUCCAAAAUAAAGUCUCAAAAAUCAUUAUAUAUUUUUUCAGAUAAAUCAUGAAGGUUUUUUCUCUCAAUCUUCUUUAGAUCUACUGCAGAAAACUCCAAGAAUACAUUAAUUAUUUGUUUUACUUUUUUACUCUCAUCACAAUAUUGAGAAUGUAUUAAUUAGAGCAAAUCCUAAUUCAUCAAUAACCAUUCACCCAACUUAGAUUCUUAAUCCAAAUCUUAAUCUUAAUUCACCCAGAUUCAUUACAACUUAUCCAAGUAAUUUAAAUCUAAUUAUUUAUAAAUGUUGAUCAUUUAUGCUUAAUGAUGCUGGGCUCAUCUUUCUUGCACCGACUCAUUUCUUUGGGAGAUAGAAACUGUCUCAAUAUGGAGUUUAUAUACAUGAUAAAAGAUGUAUGUAAAUCACCUGCAAGAUUCUAAUUACGGAGAUUAGGAUAUUCAAGUCGAGCAACCAAUUAAAAAAUUAAUACGAUUGAGUGAAGAUAUAGAAGCAAUUUGUCUUUGCUCCUUACUAUAGAAUCAUCCGAUUUAACCUCAUAUACUCUCAGAACCAUCAUAGUUGAUAUGGACGAUUUUGCUCCAUGUAAGCUCAUAUGCUCAUCGAGGUCGUUAUCUAAGCAGGACUCCACAUUCUCACAUUACCUUAUCAACAUCAGAAAAUGAUCAUGUAGUUCACCUAAUAUUAUCUCAAACUAAUUAGUAAGAAGGUUCUGGGAUCAAGUAUAAAAAGAAUCCAUCGGCACACGCUAAUAAUAUUAGUUUACACUACACAUUAACCUAAUCGCGUUAGUGUGUACUAUGGGGGGGGGAACUCUCGACAUACUAACCUAACCGCAUAGUUUACAUUACUGUCUUCUCCUUUUUAUUGACUUAAACAUCAAAGGGGCACGUCGGGUAACUACUAGGGUCAUCCUGUCAUGCAAGAUCAUCGGCUAUCAAGAGGCGACCUUGUUGUUAGGACGUAACCAUAUAACAUGAGACAAACCAUCUCUCGGGGACAUUCGAACGAUCUGAUCUCGAAAGAAAACUUUACAUCCAGAAAUAUCAUAAACUGUCUACCCAAUCAUCACGAACCAGGUCCUCGUCGAUAAGACCGUUUCGGAUCGAAUUGUCUAUUCGAUCCUACCUUUGCAAAUCUCUCACGUCAAUCAGAUAUCGCGGCGACUCAAUCAGUCGACCAAAAGAGGACAAUUCGUUUUGAGCUAUACAUAAAGAGAGAAAAAGUAAAGAAAAGCAGUAGUCAUGGUGCUUGUUUGGGACUGUAGAAGAGAAUGACAGAGAAAAAGAGAAAAGGAUGCUUGUUUGGGACUGUGGAAGCCCAUUGUAUUGUAUGACUCCUUUGAGCUGAGCUCCCUUUGCCACAUCCUUGACAGGCAUGUCAUGGUGCUACCCUUCUCCAGCAGCUCCCAAAUCUCUCAGACGAGCCUAAGGAGUUCAGCUCAAAGGGUGGAUGGAGAAGAAGGCCAAGAAGAAGAUCGAGAUGGUGAUGAAGACCAUGUACAGUGCCAUUGCUUUAUGGAGAAACUUGUGAGUGUCAUCUCUCUUCCAUGUUUUGUCACUCUUUCUUUCAUUUGGUUUGCAUGUUGGAUAAGAGUUGCAUGACAUUAAAUUAUUUCCCUUUUGGCUGUUUAGAGCCACAUUUGUUGAAGAUUCGACAUAAAGAUGUCGAUUUAUACAUACGCUACAAAGUGGAUAAUAUGCUUUAAAUGACAUCCAAAAAACAUGGAUUCUCUUUCCGAUUGUUUGCUCUCAUGAUGGAAUCAGUCAAAACUUACGAAGAACAGAAAACCUUUCCUAUGCCAUUGCAGCUCAAAAUGUACCCUUUCCAGGCAUUAUGAUACAUCUUUUCUGCUCCAUUGAAACUUAAGACAGCACAAUAUAUGACUCACUUCUUAGAAAUAUAUUAGGUUGGGUCUGAAUGAUUCACGAUUGGGCGUGUCAAGUUUCUAAUUAUAAUAGCUUAGGUGGUUGGAUUAAGAUUUACUAUAAUUAUAAUGGUUCUUGGAACGGUACCAAUACGCUUUUCUAGGGAUCAGAAGCGCGAAGGCUGAGGAGAUGCGAUCAGAACCGUCAGAUCGAACGGUGGACGGUGUUUCGUUUCUGAUGUCGCCGUUUCUUCUUUGGCAUAGCAUGAACGAUGGGUAAUCGGCUGUUGCCUCCACGGCAGCAGACACCCAGUACGGGUGUAAUGUGCCGAGCGCGGCACUGGGUCUAACUUUUGGUCAAGAAUCAUGGUCCAUUGAUUGUGUAUGGAAUAAUUGCACGCUGUCUGAAUACCGACAGGUUCCGCAACUUCAUACGAAGGACCACAACUUCAGAACCGGUACACAGAUCAAAUGGACAACAGUAAACACGGAACAACGACAACAGCCACCCAAAAUCCAAUAACUAUUACCACAUUAUUAUUCGCUGCCGGUAGGACUGAACCCAUUGUCACCGUCAAAGACAACGACAAGUAUUUGACGACGACCGAGGUCCGCCUUUACUCAACUGCCACACGCCUCGUCUUUCAACUGGCCCACCAACUUCGCCAGCGCCGAAUGCGACGAGCCGCCUUCUCUGAGCGCCUCCGCCGCUCUCUCCUUCAUUGCCNNNNNNNNNNNNNNNNNNNNGAUGAUGCCGUGGGCGUCCGGAAAGCGGGAGCAGACGUGGAGGAACCCCUUGUAGGCCUCGUCCUCGCGGUCCAGCAUUGGGAGCGGCAUGUGGUCAGCGGGCAAUGGCGGGAUCCCGGGGACCAGCAGCGGGGCGCUGCCGAGCUCCCUGAAGCUCUUGACUGUGGUGGAGUGCAACGUCGGGAUGUAGAAGAAAGUGGCGAGGACGCUAGCGCCGGAGGUAAAGAAGGCGUAGCAGGGGAUGCAGAGCUCAGCGGCAACGUCGAGGGCGAAGCUGCAGAACAAGUCGACGACGAUGGCUCUGGGGGCGGUUUCGCGGAGGAAGUUGAGGAGAUUUGCGUUGGAGAGGCGGAGGAGGUCGAAGGCGAGGGCCUCGUGGUUGGGGGAGGGGUUGGGGGGGAGGGCGACGGGGGGAAGGCGGUGGAAGGUAAUGGAGGGGUUGGCGGCGGAGGCUCGGGAAAUGAAGGCCGCGGUGGAGCCGGUGUUGUAAGGUGGGUCGACGGUGACGACGGCGACGGCCAUUCCGUGGAGAACGAAGAGCUUUCCGAGCUCCAUCAUGGACACCAGGUGGCCCAUCCCCGGUGACGGGUACAGCACCACUCCUCCCCGCUUCCUCUCUUCCGCAGCAAACAUAUCCUCUCUCUCUCUCUCACACUCUCUCUCUCUCUAUCUUUACCAAAGCGACAUCGUCGAAUUAUAUGAGGCCACAUUUCUAUCGACCGGUGGUGGAAAUGGCUCCGUUGUCUCAUGGGCGAUUUCGCCUGAACCCGAUGAAUGUGGACGUGUUUGGGAAGGUGUGCACGACGUGUCAGUAAGAGGCGAACCGACCGCAGUGGUUGAACCGUAUUGAUGGAUGAGAGAAGCUCUUAACUCAUCUUCACACGAUGAUCGCACGUGCGUUCAGAAAUCGGACGAGUUCGAGUACACAAGUAAUUACUGUUGAAUUUAAUUUCCAUCACAGCUACAUGAUUCAAUCACCUGUCAGACAACACGUGGUCACGUCAGAGAAUAUGUCAUUGAGUUAACUGUGGACCAAUGAAUCAAAUAAUGACACAUCCAUUAUAUUUAAGCUGAGAAUAUCUCAGUUCCAAACACCAUUUGCAAUAAAAAAAUGUCAUAUAAUCGAAAAACUUAAGAUAGAACAUAUUUCAACAAUUGUUUUCUGUAAUAAAAAUAAAAAUAUUUCUAAAAAAUAAAAUUAAGAUUAGAAAAAAAGAAACGCUAACAAUAAUUGAUGCCUCAGACCAAUAAUUGAUGCCUCCUUUUGUCUGUGUGUGUGUGUCAGUGGCAAUGGAUGACAGUACAUGAAACAUUGUAUUAUGUGGUGGGGGUGAAGAUAUAUAUUACUUGUUAGAUGGAAGAAUGAUUUCGAUCAGAAAGUUUCUAGAUGUUGCAUGGCUAGACUUGUCUCUUUAUCUUGGAAGUGAGAUAUAAGGCUGCAAAAAUGCAUGAUACGGUUAAGAAAAUUGUAUUUGCCAAUAUGAUAAAAAAGAAUAGUGCAAGAAAAAAUUUAUAAAAAUUAAAAAUUAAAAAAUAUUAUUUAUUAUAACAAAGGAUAUAAUUAUAAACUUUAUUCUCUUUGACAAGAUAAUAUCAAACUUUAUUCUCUUCUUUUAUUAUAAGAAAAGUAAUCAUAAAUUAUUUUUUCAUUCUUUAAGGUAUAAAAAAUAUAUUUUAAAUAAGAUAAAAAAACUUAUGCUCUCCCCAUUUUAUAUCAGAGAAAUUUGUUUUGAAAACCUCUUAUUAUCUCGUUUUUCAUGCAAGUGAUAUAUUAGAAGUACGAUAUUUUCAAAUCAAGAGCAUAUUAUUUCUAUCUGAAAGGUGUCUCCGACAUUAUUACAUAAACAUAAGGAUCAUAAUAAGAUUUCAUGAUUAUGCCCUAACCUUUUAAGGUAUAACAAUAAGAUAUGCCGAUUGAUUGGUCAAAUUGGAAAAACUUAGCUAUAUCAAUCAAACUAUUCAAGAUUAACAUAAUCCGACAAAAUAAUUUACUAAUUUAAAUAAAAAAAUAUAUUGCAAAAAACAAUAUGUCUCCUACUUGUAUAAAAAAACCAUAUUGCAAAAAAGCAAGUUUUUAUAGAUGAAAGGAAGGCUUUUGCAUGUUCCUCGGAUUCCAUUGGAAGCUGAAGUAUAUGAUCAUCUCAUUUUCCAACAUUCCUCCCAUAAACUCUCACUUUUCCUCCAAAACAUUGUGCAUCUCAAAAAAUGACAAUUGACACGUAGUUCACCUACUCACGAGUCCGCCAUCCAACGCUGUUCAUUCUGUUUCGUUCUUUUCGUCUGAAUUGGAAAAUAAAUAUUAAUUGUUUUCUUUAUAAAAAUAAUCUGUUCGUCUGAUUUAUUUCUUUCUAAAAAUAAAUAUUAAUUAUAUCCUAAAAUAUAGUAAUUAUCAAUCCUCCACCCAAAUUUAUUUUGCUUUCUAAAAAUAAAUAUUAUAUUAAGUUCAUUCUACUCCGUUCAUAACUUAAAUUCUUAAUCCAAAUCCAAAUCUUAAUUCACCAAGAUUAAUUACUAUUUAUCCAAGUAAUUUAAAUCUAAUUAUUUAUAAAUAUUAAUCGUGUUUGUUUAAUUAUUCUGGGCUCAUAUUUCUUGCACCCACUCGUUUCUUUAGGAGAUAGAAACCAUCACAAGCUAAAUGAUGUAUAUAAAUCACCUGCGAAGAUUCUAAUUAUAGAGAUUACGGUAUUCACGUUAAGCAACCAAUAAAAAAAAUUAAUCUAAUUGAGUGAGAUAUAGAAGCAAAUUGUCUUUACUCCUCGGAACCAUCAUAGUUGAUAAGGAUGAUUUUACCCCAUGUUAGCUCAUAUACCAAUUGAGAUCAACAUCUAAGCAAGACUCUAGGUCACUGUCUUACCUUAUCAAGAUCAAAGAAUGAUCAUACAGUUCACAUAAUCUUAUCACAAACGAAUUAUUAAGAAGGCUCUCAGAUCGGGUAUAAAAGAACUCAUCAGCUCAUACUGAAGGGGAGAACUCUCGACACACUAAUAUAAUCACGUAGUUUACAAUAUUAUCUUUUCCUCUUCGCUGACUUAAGCAUUGGAGGAGCGUGCCGAGCAACUCUCGAUAUCGAUCAUGCAUGAUUAUAGACGACCAAGAUGUGACCCCGUUGUUACGACAUAAUUACAUUAAGACAAGACAAACCAUCUCUCGAGGAUAAUCGAACGAUUCAAACUCAAGAGAAAAUCUUGCAGCCAGAAAAAUCUUACACUACCUACCCAAUCAUCCCGAAUCACGUCAUCACUGAUAUGACCGCUUACGAUCGGAUUGCCCAUACGAUCUCACUUCACAAAAUCUCCAUGUCAGUCGAUUCAUCGGUCGUUCAAAGAGUACAACUCGUUUUGAGUUCUACAUAGAGAGAGAAAAAGUAGAAGAAAAGCAGAAGUCACAUCGAAAGAUGAGGAAUAGAAAAGGGAGAAAAUGAUGCUUGUUUGGGACUGUGGAAGUUCAUUGUAUUGUAUGACUCCUUUGAUCUGAGCUCCCUUUGCCACAUCCUUGACAGGCAUGUCAUGGUGCUGCCCUUCUCCAGCGGCUCCCCCAACCUCUCAGAUGAGCCAAGGGGUUUCUGAUUGGGAAGGGAGUUUUGGGGAAAGGGUGGAUGGAGAAGAAAAAGGCCAAGAAGAGGAUCAAGGUGAAGAUGAAAGCCAUGUACAGUGACAUUGCCUUCUGGAGAAACUUGUGAGAGCUAUCUCUGUUCCAUGUGAUUUCUCUCUUCCUUUCCUUUGGUUUGCAUGUUGGAUAAGAGUUGCAUGACAUUAAAUUAUUUUCCUUUUGGCUGUUUAGAGCUACAUUUGUUGAAGAUUUGGCACAAAGAUGUGGAUCUAUAUAUAUGCUACAAAGUGGAUAAAAUAUGCUUUAAAUUACAUCCAAAAAACAUGGAUUCUCUUCCCGAUUGUUUCCUCUCAUGAUUGAAUUAGUAAAAAUUUACCUUUCCAGUGCCAUUACAGCUCAAAUUGUGACCUUUUCAAGUAUUAUGAUAAGUUCAAGACGGUACAAUAUGAUUAUAUCACUCAUUUAAAAAUAUUUUUUUUAAGUUUGAUAGGAUAUAUUCUGAUAUCAUUCCUACGACAACAAUCAGUAGUUACAUCAGUGACAACGUGGAUUUUCAAGAUUGAUAUGAUACAUUACGUUGAUGCGAUACUUCGAACUUGGAUGAGAUGAUCGUCUGUUCCCACAUUGUCCGAGGUCGUACAAGACAAUAUAGCAUAGUACAAAGUUGCUCCGGAAAGUUGGGAAUGGUGUCACACGGCGUCGAUCCGUACAGGUCGAUCAGGGCCCGUACAGAAGGUAUGAGUCGGUUACCCGAGGAGUCGAUAGUUAUUAACAGAUCAUUAACAAACCAUGUACAACCGGAAGGUGAGACUUUGAACACUCAAACUCCCUCGAACACCAUUCAACAUUGACUCGGGCUUCAGAUGAGUUGAGUCAGAAAAUCUCAUUCUCAACUUCGGCCUGUGUGCAGGAACUUAACGAGGAAGGAGCAACAACUUGGUAGGGGAGGAAGAGCAACUCCUUGCAUUUUGAUGACGAAACCUGGACCAAACCUAACAUGCCUCCAUUUGAGUAACCACAUAGGCGAUUCUGUGCAUUUAAGAUUAAACCAAGUCUGAUCCAUUGGCCACAUCCUAAGGUUCCCUAUCAAUGUUGAAGACAUAAAUUUCUCCUUAAAAUAGAAGAAUGAAAGAAUAAUUGUGAGUGAAGAAAAAAAAUAUAUUGAGAAUAAUAGGAGUGGUAUUUAAUUUUUUCAAACGGUGACCAAAUGAGCAAGUACAACUUCAGAACUAGUCCACAGAUCAAAUGGACGAUAAAAAACACGGAACAUCGACAACAGCCACCCAAAAUCCAAUGACUAUUACCACAUUAUUAUUCGCUGCGGUAGGGACUGAACCCAUUGUCACCGUCAAAGACAACGGCAAGUAUUUGACGACGACCGAGGUCCACCUUUACUCAGCUGCCACACACCUCGCCUUUCAACUGGCCCACCAACUUCGCCAGCGCCGAAUGCGACGAGCCGCCUUCUCUGAGCGCCUCCGCCGCUCUCUCCUUCAUUGCUGCCGUCCUUUCCCUCAGCUGUCGGCCCCCCUCCGACUCCAUCAGCCAACGAACCUUGGCCUCCACCUCCUCUGCGGACACCAGCUCCCCCUCGUAUCCGUCCAUCGCCACCGCCAGCCGCAUCUCCUCCGUCAGGAACACCUUGUUCAUCUUCUGCUCUGCGUAC